GUGUAAUCAUUAGUAGUAAGCAAAAGGUCAACUUUUAGGCAUAUACUUUCAUACACCUUGUUUCAGAAUGUAUAACCUCACACCCUUUUGAGCAAUAACUAGUUCCACAAUUUUGACAAGCAUAUUUUCCCCAAUAACCACAUACAUUACAGAAUUUUCGCGGAGGUUUGUAAGACGGUUUUGCAACACAGGUAUUAUACCUACUAUUUGGCUAUAUAUGGUUAGAGUAAAUAAAAUCAGCUUACAAUUUGCAUACAGUUUCAUCAAGGUAAUUAACGAAUGUUUUCCUCGAAGAUAGAAUUCGUCGAACACUUAUAGGUAGAACUCGUCUCUGAACUGUAACAAGUUAGAUUGAGCAGACGUAUCAUAGAUCAGAUUACAUACGCAAAUCUUUUGGGAUUUCAAAUCUAAUGUCCGAAAAAUUAUCCUUCUCCAAGUCUGCAAGGUUUCGUUUUAAUUGUCGUUCACGAGUAACUGGAUCGACAACGCUCUAUCAUCCAUUAGAUCAGUUCCUUUGUA